rnacentral:rRNA from 1 species
AGUGAACGCUGGCGGCGUGCUUAACACAUGCAAGUCGAACGAGAACGGGUUAUAGCUUGCUAUAAUUGUCAGCUAAGUGGCGCACGGGUGAGUAAUGUAUAGGUAAUAUGCCUCUUACUAAGGGAUAACAAAUGGAAACGUUUGCUAAUACCUUAUACUCCUUAUUAACAUAAGUUAAUAAGGGAAAGAUUUAUUGGUAAGAGAUUAGCCUGUAUUGUAUCAGUUAGUUGGUGGGGUAAUGGCUUACCAAGACUAUGACACAUAACUGGUUUGAGAGGAUGAUCAGUCACACUGGAACUGAGACACGGUCCAGACUCCUACGGGAGGCAGCAGUGGGGAAUAUUGCACAAUGGACGAAAGUCUGAUGCAGCAACGCCGCGUGGAGGAUGACACAUUUCGGUGCGUAAACUCCUUUUAUAUGUGAAGAUAAUGACGGUAUUAUAUGAAUAAGCACCGGCUAACUCCGUGCCAGCAGCCGCGGUAA